AUUUUGUGUCUUGUUCCCCAU
rnacentral:sRNA from 1 species